rnacentral:rRNA from 1 species
UACGUAGGGUGCAAGCGUUAAUCGGAAUUACUGGGCGUAAAGCGUGCGCAGGCGGUUGUGCAAGACCGAUGUGAAAUCCCCGGGCUUAACCUGGGAAUGGCAUUGGUGACGGCACGGCUAGAGUGUGUCAGAGGGGGGUAGAAUUCCACGUGUAGCAGUGAAAUGCGUAGAGAUGUGGAGGAAUACCGAUGGCGAAGGCAGCCCCCUGGGAUAACACUGACGCUCAUGCACGAAAGCGUGGGGAGCAAACAGG